rnacentral:rRNA from 1 species
ACGAACGCUGGCGGCGCGCCUCACACAUGCAAGUCGAACGAGCGAGAGAGAGCUUGCUUUCUCGAGCGAGUGGCGAACGGGUGAGUAACGCGUGAGGAACCUGCCUCAAAGAGGGGGACAACAGUUGGAAACGACUGCUAAUACCGCAUAAGCCCACGACCCGGCAUCGGGUAGAGGGAAAAGGAGCAAUCCGCUUUGAGAUGGCCUCGCGUCCGAUUAGCUAGUUGGUGAGGUAACGGCCCACCAAGGCGACGAUCGGUAGCCGGACUGAGAGGUUGAACGGCCACAUUGGGACUGAGACACGGCCCAGACUCCUACGGGAGGCAGCAGUGGGGAAUAUUGCACAAUGGGGGAAACCCUGAUGCAGCGACGCCGCGUGGAGGAAGAAGGUCUUCGGAUUGUAAACUCCUGUUGUUGAGGAAGAUAAUGACGGUACUCAACAAGGAAGUGACGGCUAACUACGUG